AAGGAGAACUACAAAACACUGCUCAAAGAAAUCAGAGAUGACACAAACAAAUGAAAAACAUUCCAUGUUCAUGAAUAGAAAGAAUCAUUAUCAUUAAAAGGGCCAUACUGCUCAAAGCAACUUAUACAUUCAAUGCUCUUCCUGUCAAACUAACAAUGAUAUAUUUCACAGAACUAGAGAAAACUAUUUUUAAAAUUCAUAUGAAACCAAAAGAAGACCCAAAUAGCCAAGACAAUUCUAAGCAAAAACAACAAAGCUGGAAGCAUCACGUUAUCCAACUUCAAACCAUACUAUAGGGCUAUAAUAACCAAAACAGCAUGGCACUGGUACAAAAACAGAUAUUUAGACCAAUGGAAUAGAAUAGAGAGGCCAGAAAUAAGACCACUCACCUACACCUAUCUGAUCUUUGACAAAGCUGACAAAAAUAAGCAAUGGGGAAAGGAUUCCCUAUUUAAUAAAUGGUGUUGGGAAAAC